CCUACGGGCGGCUGCAGUGGGGAAUAUUGGACAAUGGGCGCAAGCCUGAUCCAGCAAUGCCGCGUGUGUGAAGAAGGCCUGCGGGUUGUAAAGCACUUUAAGCAGGAAAGAAGGGCGGAGCGAUAAUACCGUUUCGCAUUGACGUUACCUGCAGAAUAAGCACCGGCUAACUCCGUGCCAGCAGCCGCGGUAAUACGGAGGGUGCGAGCGGUGAUCGGAAUUACUGGGCGCGGAGCGCGCAUUGCCGGUUGAAAGCCCUGGGCUUAACCUGGGAACUGCGGUGGAUACUGUCGGGCUAGAGUGUGGUAGAGGGGAGUGGAAUUUCCGGUGUAGCAGUGAAAUGCGUAGAGAUCGGAAGGAACACCAGUGGCGAAGGCGGCUCCCUGGACCAAUACUGACGCUGAGGUGCGAAAGCGUGGGGAGCAAACAGGAUUAGAUACCCCAGUAGUC
rnacentral:rRNA from 1 species